UUAUUACCCAACAAUUCCAAUAAAGCAGAGACAGAGGAAUUCCCUCUUUAAACUGACACUGGGCUCAGUACGUAUCUAAUUGGGUUUGUAUUUUAUUAAACUGUACGUGUUUUGUUAAAAGGGAGUGUAUGUGAAAGGCGGCCCGGUAAUAAAAUCAUUUGGAUGUCUGGUGACGUAUCCGCUCCGCCGUCUCCGCUCGAGGUUGCGAGCUUCAUCGGGAAAACUGUUGGCGCAGGCGCGGCACUGACAGCUGCUGUCUACUUACUCCGCAAAGUCUGCUUAAUAAUGGCCUGGAAAUCUGGAGGAGCCAGUCACGCAGAACUUGUCACCAACCUUCGCAAAAAUGGCAUCAUCAAAUCCGACAGGGUGUACGAAGCCAUGCUGGCCACAGACCGAGCACACUUCUCCAGGUGUAACCCCUACAUGGACUCGCCUCAGUCCAUAGGUUUUCAGGCCACCAUCAGCGCCCCACACAUGCAUGCCUACGCACUGGAACUCCUUCACGACCAGCUGUACGAGGGAGCCAAGGCCCUGGACGUCGGCUCCGGCAGCGGCAUCCUGUCGGUCUGCUUCGCCCGAAUGGUAGGACCCAAAGGGAAGGUCAUAGGAAUUGACCACAUCAAAGAGCUGGUAGAUGACUCCAUAAACAACGUGAAGAAAGACGACUCCAGUUUAAUAACGUCCGGACGAAUCAAGCUGGUUGUGGGAGACGGGCGGAUGGGUUACCCAGAGGAGGCGCCAUAUGACGCCAUCCACGUUGGUGCAGCAGCGCCCACCGUCCCACAGGCUCUCCUGGACCAGCUGAAGCCCGGCGGUCGGCUGAUUUUACCUGUCGGGCCUCCAGGGGGCAACCAAAUGCUGGAGCAGUACGACAAGCUGGAGGACGGCAGCACCAAGAUGAAGCCCCUGAUGGGGGUGAUUUAUGUGCCUUUAACAGACAGAGACAAGCAAUGGUCCAGGUGGAAGUGACUUCCUUCUCCUCCCCCCUCCACCCCCCCUCUGUCCUUCUCACAGUGGCAAAGGGAUGAGCUUUGAAGAGGAAGACUGUCCAUCAUCCACCUUUGAGUUUGGCGCAGCAGAACAGUCGGGGGGGCCUCAGCGUCUGGUUGAAAGCAUCACCGACGUGCUGUUUUUGUUUGAACAGAGCUGUGGAAGUUUGUGUGGCUGCAGACGCUCCACUCUCCAGAUGGGCUUUCAGGUUUCUGUCUUCAUGGGCCUGCAUCCUUUUGGUCACUGUCCAAAUCGCUGGAGGAAGUUUUUUUUUGUUUGUGGUUUUAACAUUUGAAUUCCAAACAAUUUGAGACAUUUUUAAAGCGGCACAUUUCAGAAGGCUAUAAAGAGGGCAGGACAGGAUGAAGGCUUCUUUUAAAGAGUCUUCUGCUAAGCCCCCCCCCCCCCCCCCCCCCCCCCCCUCAUGAGCAGUAUUAUUAAACACCGGAAACGCCACAACUGCUGUCACCCAUCCAUCCGCAGGUCACAUGACCACACACUCAAAAAACAGAGCACCUCCACACUACACAAAGGACGCUCACUGCUUUGCCAAAAUAAAGCGUAUGAAGCAAACGAAUGUCUGAUUCUUGGUCUGAACGGUCCAAACAUAGGUUCCUUUCUGUUGUGUAACCACAUGUCAUUGUGUUCCUCUCAAUAAUCAGCACAUUUGAUAUUCCUUUCACAUUUAUUUUUGUAAAGGAUAGAGUGGUCUACAUGUAGCCACGCUGGAAUAAUAUAUUCUUAAACAGAUCGUAACCCUUUAAUAAAAAUAAAAUGACUUAAAGAUGUAUGUUCUAAAUAAAAGCAUGAUGUGAAA